CUACGGGACGCACCAGUGAGGAAUAUUGGACAAUGGAGGCAACUCUGAUCCAGCCAUGCCGCGUGCAGGAAGACGGCCCUAUGGGUUGUAAACUGCUUUUAUACGGGAAGAAACCCAACUACGUGUAGUUGGCUGACGGUACCGUAAGAAUAAGCACCGGCUAACUCCGUGCCAGCAGCCGCGGUAAUACGGAGGGUGCAAGCGUUAUCCGGAAUCAUUGGGUUUAAAGGGUCCGUAGGCGGACUGAUAAGUCAGGGGUGAAAUCCAACAGCUUAACUGUUGAACUGCCUUUGAUACUGUUAGUCUCGAAUUAUAUGGAAGAAGAUAGAAUGUGUAGUGUAGCGGUGAAAUGCUUAGAGAUUACACAGAAUACCGAUUGCGAAGGCAGUCUACUACGUAUAUAUUGACGCUAAUGGACGGAAGCGUGGGGAGCGAACAGGAUUAGAUACCCUCGUGGUC
rnacentral:rRNA from 1 species